GCAAAAUGAGGUAAGAGUGGCUUUUAUAUCCCCCUAACGGAGAACCAUAGGAUGGCCCAAAAAUGGUGUGUCUUACGUAAUCCCAUGUGAGAAAAUUCUAUCUUCAGACAUUUAAAGAGGGUGUGCACCGGCUGUGCAAGUGGUCAUGCAGGAUCUUGUGCACAUUUGGUAGUCUCCAGAAGCUUCCCGUGAAAGUGCACAGGCUGUGCGGGUUGCUUAUGCAGGUUUCAACAUGUGGAGGUCUUCUAUGAAAGUGCAUUACCGAACUGUAUAGGCUGUGAAGAGGUUGUGCAAGUUUCGGCA
rnacentral:misc_RNA from 1 species